rnacentral:rRNA from 1 species
GCCAGCAGCUAAAUCACCCUGCAGCUCUCACCUGGCUAGCCACUGAAGGUAAGCAGGGUUCAGCCUGGUUAGUACCUGGAUGGGAGACAUCCUGGGAAGCUAUAGUUGCUGGUGGAA